AUGUAUCUUUUUUUUAUUGUGUGCAGCGCUUUAAAGUAGUUAUUUGUAGUCAUAUAGGGCGAUAUAUAAAUAUAUAUCAUCAUUAUUAUUAAGUAAGCAGUGGCCCAAUCAACUAGAAAAAUAUUCUUUCAAUUCAUUUGGAAUGGAAAAAAUUACAAAAUACCUAGAGCGCUUUUAAUACAGAAAUACUCUGAAGGGUGACUUCAAAUGGUACAUCUAGAAUCAUAAAUCAACUAUCUUGGUUAAGAAGUUUUACAAUCGAAGGUUGGCAUACUGAGUAUGCUGUAUAAUGUGACAACAGAAAGAUCAUUGGUAAAUCUUUUUCACUUUGGAUCUGAUUAUCCAAAACAUCUUUCAAUUAACAGCCAUAACUUGUUUUGGUAAGAAACAUUGAUGGCAUAUAGUGAAUGGAUUGAUCUUUCAUGCAAAACAUCACAUCAACAACAAUGCCAAGUUUGGAUUGAUCCUCAAUUUAAGAUUGCUAGAAAGUCAAUAUUUCAUGAAUGUCUACAUGUAUGUAAGAAAGGUUUCAUUUAUGUUUCAGACUUUUUUAAUGAAUUUGGAGCAUUCAUAAACAUUGAUGAACUGGGAACAGAAUUUGGCAUAGCUCUACCUUUUACAACUACCCUUGGAUUAAAAAGAGCUACAUGAAAGGCGAAGAUAACGAACGGUGAUCAAUCUCAUAACUCCCACAAGCAAUGCAAAAUAGAUAGUCGGGCAAACACGGAUCCCUGGACACACCAGAGGUGGGAUCAGGUGCCUAGGAGGAGGAUCUCAAAUGCACAACGAAGAAGGGCACCGAUCUAUGGAUUAUGAAGGAUUUAAAAGAUAAGUUGGAGAGUUAGUUAAAAGAUAUAUUUUAGUAUAAUCGUGCUUGAUAUUCUAUUUUGAAAUGAUACUAUGCUUUCAAAUUUUUGGUACUUUAUAAUUUUUAAAAUAAUAAUUUAUGAUUAAGUAGGAUUCUUAUGAAUUUAUUUUAUUUACUUGUACUAGUGACAAAAUUGUGUCAAUGGCUUGGCUCUAAUAUUGAUCUAAUUUAUUUUUGACACAUAAUUUGAAUUUUUAAAAAUAUCUACUGGUGAUUUUUCGAACUUGAAAUAAAUCAUUUUUUGCAUGUUGUUUUACGAUCCAUUCAAGAAAUGCUCACUCAGAGAAACGUCACCAGCUCGCACGUGUAGAACAUGAGCAAUGUUUUAGGAUUUUUGUUUAGCCCUUUGAACAAGUCCCCGUCCUGUUUUUAAACUGCGCAUGACAGGAAGAGAUUUAUGAAAACACGCUAUUUUUAUUUUCGUUUCAUUUUUAGUUUUUAUUUAUCACCCUUUUAUACUUUUUUCGAUUCCAAUAGAAUUUGGUUAAAAGAAAUCUCAUUUGUUAAUUUCUUUGAUUAAUUAUGCUGACACAUGUUGAUAAAUAUAGUAUUCAUCCGCAAUCGAAAGCGCUAUGGCUGCUUUUGUAGUAAAUACUUCAAAUUGUGAUUCAUAUUUCAUCGUAUCGAGUGCUUAAAUUUACAAAUCAAUCAUUCUUUGCAGAACCGUGUUUCAUACAUGUAUAUAUUGUAUAUACCCCUUCAUUAGUUUUGAACAAUAUAAUAAACAGCUAUAUUUAUUGGGAGAGGUAACCUAGUGUUUUGGGGGACUCGCUUUGCAACCUGAAGGUUCUGGGUUCCAUUUUCGAUACCCCACCGAGUGAGACUUAACACCUUUAACAUAGAUAGUCACUGUUCCUUCGUCAGUUGCUCGGCAUUGGAAGUGAAAAUCACGGGUCUUUCGGAUAUGACCAUUUCACAGAAGCUGUUUGCACGAUAAUAGACCCUUCAAGAGUACGGCUUUGAGCACUAUGCUAACAAACUGGUGAAGCUGGUGACGUCUCGAGUGAGACAGAAAACAACAUACAAACAAAACAAAUAAUGCAUUUCCUUUCAGAACACCUGCCACCACCAUCUUCAUUAUAUAACAAAAGAACAAUUUGCAGGUGAAUAAGACAGAGAGGUUAAAAACUCUGGCGAAAUCUUCAAAUCUACCUUGUUGCCACCUAUUAUGAUGUUGGCAUCGUUGUGCAGGUUUGAAAAGUUUGACCUAUAGAGCUACCGGAUCAACGUCUGCCAUUUUUAAAGGUUUUAUGUCAAUUAGGCAUGACAAUAAAUACACAAUAUAUUAAGAAGACAAUAUGUACAGUGGACACUUAUUUCCAUGUAUUCAUAUGCUCUAAUAAUCAAAUAAAGGGAUAUAAUUUGA